GUCAGGAUGGCCGAGUGGUCUAAGGCGCCAGACUCAAGCUAAGCUUCCUCCGCGGUGGGGAUUCUGGUCUCCAAUGGAGGCGUGGGUUCGAAUCCCACUUCUGACA
rfam:Homo sapiens chromosome 6 genomic contig, GRCh38 reference assembly alternate locus group ALT_REF_LOCI_7.